CUCCAGGAGACUAAGGAAAAUGGUUCUACUAAAUGAAUGUUCGACUUAAGCAAUGCAUAACUGCCUAAAAGGUUGAUAUCUCGGUCAAUAAUGAAGUAAAUUAGGCUUGGAUCAGUUAUGGGUUGUUUUUUUCCCACUAGUGAUCACUUAAUGUUCACAUUCGCUUUUAAACAAUAUACAGUUACCUGAUGUUCUUAACAUGCAAAUGACACAGUGCAAAAAGAUAGAAUUUAAACUGUUUGAACUUUACACCAUAUUGAUUGGAUCGUGAGAAAUGUGCAUCAAAUCAAAAUGAGUCUGAUGAUAGCAGGCGAUAAAAAUACAUAUGAAUUUGACAUUGGUGUUGAAGAUAAAGAUAUCAUGAUUUUAUCAAGAUCGUUUUGAAAAUAAUUUUAAUUUUGUAUAAGUGUUUGUUCU